rnacentral:rRNA from 1 species
UUGAACGCUGGCGGCAGGCCUCACACAUGCAAGUCGAACGGUAACAGGAAACAGCUUGCUGUUUCGCUGACGCGUGGCGGACGGGUGAGUAAUGUCUGGGAAACUGCCUGAUGGAGGGGGAUAACUACUGGAAACGGUAGCUAAUACCGCAUAACGUCGCAAGACCAAAGAGGGGGACCCUCGGGCCUCUUGCCAUCGGAUGUGCCCAGAUGGGAUUAGCUUGUUGGUGGGGUAACGGCUCACCAAGGCGACGAUCCCUAGCUGUCUGAGAGGAUGACCAGCCACACUGGAACUGAGACACGGUCCAGACUCCUACGGGAGGCAGCAGUGGGGAAUAUUGCACAAUGGGCGCAAGCCUGAUGCAGCCAUGCCGCGUGUAUGAAGAAGGCCUUCGGGUUGUAAAGUACUUUCAGCGGGGAGGAAGGGAGUAAAGUUAAGACCUUUGCUCAUUGACGUUACCCGCAGAAGAAGCACCGGCUAACUCCGU